rnacentral:lncRNA from 1 species
AUUAAAUUCAAAAUGUGAUCAUGCAACUAUUUAUGACCGAAUUUCUUUAUUUGAAGAGAUUUAUUUUUUUUUAAAUAAAUUUACAUCAAGAAAAUCUCCACUAAUUCUAUUUUAUAUUAAAAACUUAAUUGAUUGAAUUCAAGAAGACAAAUUCACAUCAUUGUAUUAUUUUUGCUCAACCAAAAGAACAUAUUAUAAACCCA